rnacentral:rRNA from 1 species
GCAAGUCGAGGGGUAACAUGAGUGCUUGCACUUGAUGACGACCGGCGCACGGGUGAGUAACGCGUAUACAAUCUACCUUAUACUAGAGUAUAGCCCAGAGAAAUUUGGAUUAAUCCUCUAUAGUCUAUUAAUAUGGCAUCAUAUAAAUAGUAAAGGUUACGGUAUAAGAUGAGUAUGCGUCCUAUUAGUUUGUUGGUAAGGGUAACGGCUUACCAAGACUACGAUAGGUAGGGGCCCUGAGGGGGGGAAU